rnacentral:rRNA from 1 species
CCCUUAGAUGUUCUGGGCAGCACGCGCGCUACAAUGGUCUUCGCAAACGGAUGCAUUCUCGAAGGAGAAUGCCAAUCUUGGAAUCUAUGCCUUGGUCGGGACAGUUGCUUGCAAUUUUUCGACUCGAACCAGGAAUUCCUUGUAAUCGUGGUUCAUCACAUCACGAUGAAUACGUCCCUGCCCUUUGUACACACCGCCCGUCGCUCCUACCGAUUGAAUGUGCCAGUGAAAAGUUCGGAUUGGAGAUAGGAGACGGCAACGUAUCCUAUUUCCGAGAAAAUCUUUAAACUUUCCCAUUUAGAGGAAGGAGAAGUCGUAACA